GCCUGUUUAACAAAAACAUGGUUUUUUACAUAAAAAAUCUAAUCUGCCAUUUGGUUUACUAAAAGGCCGCAGUAAAUUGUGCUAAGGUAGCAUAAUAAAUUGUCCUUUUAUUAAGGUCUUGCAUGAAAGAUUGCAUAAUUAAAAAUAUAUUUUAUUAUUAUUAUAAAAAAUUAAAUUUUGAGUUAAAAUGAUUAAAUUUUAAAAAGGGACGAGAAGACCCUAAGAUCUUUAUUAAAAAUUUGGCUGGGGAAGCUAUAUUUUUAAACAAAUGUAAUAUUAUUCACUAUAAGUGUUUAAAAAAGAUAAAUUAUAAAGUAAAAAAGUUACCUUAGGGAUAACAGCAUAAUAAUAAAUAAUAAGAUCAAAUUUUAAUUUAUGAUUAUGACCUCGAUGUUGAAUUAGGUAAAAUUUAUAAGUAAAAAUAUAAAAUUUUUAGUCUGUUCGACUAGGUAAACCUACGUGAUCUGAGUUCAGACCGG
rnacentral:rRNA from 1 species